CCUACGGGUGGCAGCAGUGAGGAAUAUUGGUCAAUGGCCGAGAGGCUGAACCAGCCAAGUCGCGUGAGGGAAGACGGCCCUACGGGUUGUAAACCUCUUUUGUCGGGGAGCAAAGCGAGUCACGUGUGACUCAUUGAGAGUACCCGAAGAAAAAGCAUCGGCUAACUCCGUGCCAGCAGCCACGGUAAUACGGAGGAUGCGAGCGUUAUCCGGAUUUAUUGGGUUUAAAGGGUGCGCAGGCGGAGGUGCAAGUCAGCGGUCAAAUUGCGGGGCUCAACCCCGUACUGCCGUUGAAACUGGAUCCCUUGAGUGCGCGAGAGGUAUGCGGAAUGCGUGGUGUAGCGGUGAAAUGCAUAGAUAUCACGCAGAACUCCGAUUGCGAAGGCAGCCUGCUGGACAUUAACUGACGCUGAGGCGCGAAAGCGUGGGGAGCAAACAGGAUUAGAUACCCCAGUAGUC
rnacentral:rRNA from 1 species